rnacentral:rRNA from 1 species
AACGAACGCUGGCGGCAGGCUUAACACAUGCAAGUCGAACGCCCCGCAAGGGGAGUGGCGCACGGGUGAGUAACGCGUGGGAAUAUGCCCUUCGGUUCGGAAUAACACAGGGAAACUUGUGCUAAUACCGGAUACGAUCUACGGAUGAAAGAUUUAUCGCCGAGGGAGUAGCCCGCGUAGGAUUAGCUAGUUGGUGAGGUAAUGGCUCACCAAGGCGACGAUCCUUAGCUGGUCUGAGAGGAUGAUCAGCCACACUGGGACUGAGACACGGCCCAGACUCCUACGGGAGGCAGCAGUGGGGAAUAUUGGACAAUGGGCGAAAGCCUGAUCCAGCCAUGCCGCGUGAGUGAUGAAGGCCUUAGGGUUGUAAAGCUCUUUCGCCAGGGAAGAUAAUGACGGUACCUGGAAAAGAAGCCUCGGCUAACUCCGUGCUAGCAGCCGCCGUAAAAC